UACAGAGGGGGCAAGCGUUGUUCGGAAUUACUGGGCGUAAAGGGCGCGUAGGCGGCCUGCUAAGUCGAACGUGAAAUCCCUGGGCUCAACCCAGGAACUGCGUCCGAUACUGGAAGGCUUGAAUCCGGGAGAGGGAUGCGGAAUUCCAGGUGUAGCGGUGAAAUGCGUAGAUAUCAGGAGGAACACCGGUGGCGAAGGCGGCCACCUGGACGGCUACUGACACUGAGACGCGAAAGCGUGGGGAGCAAACAGG
rnacentral:rRNA from 1 species